UACGGAGGGUGCAAGCGUUAUCCGGAUUUACUGGGUUUAAAGGGUGUGUAGGCGGACUUUUAAGUCCGUGGUGAAAUCUCCGGGCUCAACCCGGAAACUGCCAUGGAUACUAUUGGUCUUGAAUGUUGUGGAGGUGGGCGGAACGGGUCAUGUAGCGGUGAAAUGCUUAGAGAUGACCCGGAACACCGAUUGCGAAGGCAGCCCACUACGCAACUAUUGACGCUGAGGCACGAAAGCGUGGGGAUCAAACAGG
rnacentral:rRNA from 1 species